UACGUAGGGGCCUAGCGUUGUCCGGAUUUAUUGGGCGUAAAGAGCUCGUAGGCGGUUUGGUUAGUCAGGUGUGAAAUCUCCACGCUCAACGUGGAGGGGCCACCUGAUACUGCCAUGACUGGAGUCCGGUAGAGGAGUGUGGAAUUCCCGGUGUAGCGGUGAAAUGCGCAGAUAUCAGGAAGAACACCCGUGGCGAAAGCGGCUCUCUGGGACGGUACUGACGCUGAGACGCGAAAGCGUGGGGAGCGAACAGG
rnacentral:rRNA from 1 species